UACCAGCACCCCGAGUGGUCGGGACGAUUAUUGGGCCUAAAGCAUCCGUAGCCGGUUCUACAAGUCUUCCGUUAAAUCCACCUGCUUAACAGAUGGGCUGCGGAGGAUACUGUAGAGCUAGGAGGCGGGAGAGGCAAGCGGUACUUAGUGGGUAGGGGUAAAAUCCGUUGAUCCAUUGAAGACCACCAGUGGCGAAGGCGGCUUGCCAGAACGCACUCGACGGUGAGGGAUGAAGGCUGGGGGAGCAAACCGG
rnacentral:rRNA from 1 species